rnacentral:lncRNA from 1 species
AAAAAAAAACCAUUUGCCGCUAAGUCUUAUAGUUUAUGAGGAGUAGUGAUAACAGUGUUUUUUGUAAUUGGGGAGAUAACUCCUAUAAGAUAAAUAGUAAAUCUUGGUUCUUCUAAUACAAGAAAGAUAUUAUACCCCUGAUACAUGAUACCAAAGAUCAUUUGUAUAUGUUGCGUACUUUUCUUGUUUUUGGACUUUAAAAACGGCGGAAGAAAAAGAAUAAUAAUAAUAAUAAUAAUAAUAAUAAUAAUAAUAAUAAUAAACAAACGAAAUACAGUAAGGUCUUUCCAUUUAAGAAAGGAAAGACCUUAAUUAA